rnacentral:rRNA from 1 species
GAUGAAACGCUGGCGGCGUGCUUAAACACAUGCAAGUCGAAACGAAAGCACUUGAAUGGAAUUCUUCGGAAGGAAGCUCAAGUGACUGAGUGGCGGACGGGUGAGUAAACGCGUGGGUAAACCUGCCUCAUACAGGGGGAUAACAGUUAGAAAUGACUGCUAAUACCGCAUAAGCACACGUGAUCGCAUGAUCGAGUGUGAAAAACUCCGGUGGUAUGAGAUGGACCCGCGUCUGAUUAGCUAGUU